AAUUCCAUCUAGUUUGUUUUAUAGAACAAAUCUCCCAGAUGCUUAUUAUUUCUUGUUAAAAAGGAAACACUUUGAUGUGUAAGAUUUGUAUUACAUUAUACAACAAAUGUACGAAAAGAAACAAGUGCAGUUGAAUUGCACUCUUUCAAGGAUCUGGGAUAUUUGUUCUAUACAAUUUUCUUACGAUAUGUCUGGUAAAGCAAUGAAGUGAACCAAUACUGUUCAAUAAGUGUUGAAAAUUAUAGAAAUAAUGGAUUUGCGUCUUUAGAAAGUAUAUUUAAAAGUAACUAUGAGGCAAAUUCUAUGAACAUAACGAAGAGGUGUCAUUACUUUUGAUUCUGCAGAAAUUCAUGAAGUGUGUUUUAUUCCAUAUGCUAUCUGUGACAGAUGUUCUUCAAGGUAUCAGACUACACACACAGUGGCUGUAAAGUGGAUACCAGGUCAGUGCAGAUCCAACCAAGUUCAAAGGUCAAGGUCACAUCAGUUCGAGAAUUCUUGUCGGUGGAGUAUAAGGUGUGGAACUCCCAGGGGGACGCCCUCUCUUGCCUACCACCUGUCAUGCAGGAAACGUGAUGAGGGGAUAUUCAUCAGGCAGAAAACAAGAUCAGUCGGGGACCAUUUGGUUGUGAGAUACAGUGGAAUUGCGGUGCAAGAUGUUGCCUUUCAAAUUUCCAAGUCUUAUAAAAGUGAACAUCCCAACGUGAAAUAAUAAUUCACUCCCCACUUUUUUUUUAUGAUGAAAUAUGCCCUUUUCCCUCUUUAUUUUUUGGCUUUUGCAUCACUCUUAUUCAAAGAAGUACUUCCUCUCAUUUAUUUUGAGGCUUCUGUAGCAUCUGGAUGAAGGUUCAGUUCAUGUGAUUGAAAAUAAAAAUGAAAUAGGAGUUUGCAUAUAAGAUUACUGAAUAAAUCAAGACUAUUUUUUUUGUUUUAUAUCAGUGUAUAGACUCCUGUACAAAUUUUGCAUUCACAAAACAGUACCAAAUCUGCUAUCUGGUUUUCUUACACAGUGGUUUACUUUUGAUUUCAAAAUAUAGAACAAGGGAUUUUAAAAUAUAAUGAAAUGAAAACGGUUUGAUCUCAUUUUGGAUAAAACUUUAUUACCUGUAAAGACAAUCGGGCAAAAAUAAUAUUCCCUUCUCAUUUGUUGAAGAAGAAAAAAAUUAGAAAAGCAAACAAUUUCAAUUGCUCAAGUUGUAUGCUUAACCAUCAGAUAUGAUUGCCAUGUGUCAGCUGUAAAGUACUCGGCCAUAUCAAGAACUUCUACACAGCAAUGAAGACCUGUAAAAGAUAUAAUUUGUAUCAUUCCACAAUGCAUUUUUAUAUUUUCCCAGAAAUGUAUGUUGUGAUAUAUGCUGUAUUUGUAAUACAGACAAGAUAGAGAUAUAUUUAUUUAAAUAAAGUUUAUAAACUAUUACAAAAAUAUAAA